rnacentral:rRNA from 1 species
GACGAACGCGGCGGCGUGCCUAAUACAUGCAAGUAGAACGCUGAAGGAGGAGCUUGCUCUUCUGGAUGAGUUGCGAACGGGUGAGUAACGCGUAGGUAACCUGCCUGGUAGCGGGGGAUAACUAUUGGAAACGAUAGCUAAUACCGCAUAAUAGUAGAUGUUGCAUGACAUUUACUUAAAAGGUGCAAUUGCAUCACUACCAGAUGGACCUGCGUUGUAUUAGCUAGUUGGUGGGGUAACGGCUCACCAAGGCGACGAUACAUAGCCGACCUGAGAGGGUGAUCGGCCACACUGGGACUGAGACACGGCCCAGACUCCUACGGGAGGCAGCAGUAGGGAAUCUUCGGCAAUGGACGGAAGUCUGACCGAGCAACGCCGCGUGAGUGAAGAAGGUUUUCGGAUCGUAAAGCUCUGUUGUAAGAGAAGAACGAGUGUGAGAGUGGAAAGUUCACACUGUGACGGUAUCUACCCAGAAAGGGAC